rnacentral:rRNA from 1 species
GAUGAACGCUGGCGGCGUGCCUAAUACAUGCAAGUCGAGCGAAUGGAUUAAGAGCUUGCUCUUAUGAAGUUAGCGGCGGACGGGUGAGUAACACGUGGGUAACCUGCCCAUAAGACUGGGAUAACUCCGGGAAACCGGGGCUAAUACCGGAUAACAUUUUGAACCGCAUGGUUCGAAAUUGAAAGGCGGCUUCGGCUGUCACUUAUGGAUGGACCCGCGUCGCAUUAGCUAGUUGGUGAGGUAACGGCUCACCAAGGCAACGAUGCGGGGACGACCUGAGAGGGUGAUCGGCCACCCUGGGACGGAGGCACGGCCCAGACUCCUACGGGAGGCAGGAGUAGGGGAUCUUCCUCAAUGGACGAAAGUCUGACGGAGCAACGCCGCGUGGGUGAUGAAGGCUUUCGGGUCGUAAAACUCUGUUGUUAGGGAAGAACAAGUGCUAGUUGAAUAAGCUGGCACCUUGACGGUACCUAACCAGAAAGCCACGGCUAACUACGUGCCAGCCGCCGCGGUAA